UGCAACGACAAGACAAUCCUGAAGGACUACAAGGAGCUGCCGGGCGAAGGAAGUAAAGUGACUUUGGCCAACGAUGACUCUAUAUCGGCUGAAGGCGUCGGGGAACUGCCAGUGGGAGGCGUCAUCGAUAAACUUAAUAAGGAAACUUCUGGUGCGAAGUGUGAGACCUGUCUGCUUGGGAAGCAAGUUGCCUUGCCGUAUCCCGUGGGCGAGGCUACACGUGCACACGUACCUUUGCAACUAGUGCAUAGCGAUGUAGCAGGUCCGUUUCAAGAAGACAGCAUUGGAGGUGCGAGGUUCAUGGUUACCAUGACUGAUGACUACACCAGGAAGUCACACAUCUUCCUCAUGCGUCAUAAAUCCGAGAUUCGGAGGAAUUCUGUACCGGAAGCGAGAAUGAGGAGCCAGGCUGCUCUACUUCGGGCUCAGGUGACUCGUCGAGCGAGUCUGUAGUGCUGUCGCCGCGACCGUCACAUUCAGGGGAAGCCCUGCCCCCAGCUGAUGCGCCGGCUGUACAUUCCUCGCGUCCCGUACGUACUACAAGGUCACAAAAACCCAAAAGGUAUGCUGAUUACACGUCAGACUACUCCAUGGUAGCGCACGAUGCUGCGUCUGUCCACAGCCUAGACAUACCCUUAUCGUAUAAGGAUGCUGUCACUGGUCCCCUUAGUGCAGAAUGGUCUGCCGCAAUGAAAUGUGAGUUUGACUCUCUUAUAGCUAAUAAAGUUUGGAGAUUAGUUGAUAGGCCACAUAAUACGAACGUAAUAAAGUCUAAAUGGGUAUAUAAAAUCAAAACAGAUGCAUCAGGUAACUUUGAUAAAUUUAAAGCGCGUCUUGUUGCCAUGGGUUAUACACAAGUCCCUGGUGUGGACUAUAAAGACACAUUUUCACCAGUUGUAAGACAUAGUACAAUGAGAAUAUUGUUUGCUUUAGCUUGUGAGUAUGAUUUAAGCAUAGAUCACAUUGAUGUGACCACAGCUUUUCUCAAUGGAGACCUUGAGGAAACCAUUUAUAUGGAGCUUCCACCAGGUUUUAAUAAUAACCAUAAAAAUAAAGUUUGUUUGUUACAAAAAGGGAUCUAUGGUCUUAAACAAGCUAGUAGAAUUUGGAAUAACAAAGUAAAUAAAUUACUGUGUGAAAAUGGGUUUGUUCAAAGUAAACAUGAACCUUGUAUCUAUAUAAGUAAAGAUAAAAAUAGUUUAGUAGUAGUAGCGCUUUAUGUAGACGACUUUUACAUUUUCUCGAAUAACGAAUCCUGUAAAAAUAAUCUUUUUAAUUUACUACAGAGUGAAUUUCAUUGUAAGAAUUUAGGAAAUUUAAAAAGUUGUCUGGGCAUCAAUGUUGUAAGGGAGGGAAAUGUAUUAAAGUUAGAUCAAAGCGACUAUAUUAUGAAAGUACUCAAGCGGUUUAAUAUGGAAAAUUGUAAACCUGUCUCUACACCUAUGUCUGUAGGUUGUAAAUUUGAAUCUGAAGGAGAAAAUUUAUGUGAUGAAACUUAUAAUUACAGAGAACUUAUUGGUUCCUUGAUGUACUUAGCUGUUUGUACCAGGCCAGACAUAGCAUAUGCUUGUAGCCAUUUAAGUCAGUAUAAUUCAAAGUUUAAUAAAAGUCAUUGGCUUGCAGCAAAACGGAUUUUAAGGUAUUUAGCGGGGACAAUUAACUAUUCCUUAUAUUUCAUAAAGAGUAGAGAAUUGAAUUUA